rnacentral:misc_RNA from 1 species
GAUGAAGAACGUAGCGAAAUGCGAUAAGUAGUGUGAAUUGCAGAAUUCAGUGAAUCAUCGAAUCUUUGAACGCACAUUGCGCCCUCUGGUAUUCCGGAGGGCAUGCCUGUUCCAGCGUCAUUAAAACUACUCAAGCUAAGGUUUUACCUUCUGCUUGGUCUUGGGUUUGAGGAUUCAAAAUCCUCUCUCCGAAAUCCAGUGGCGAAUUGUUUGAGCUGUAGACGUAGUAAAUCAUUCUACCCGUUGCAAGCGAGAAUAAUAUUCAGCCAUAACCCCCAUACUUUUCUAGUUUGACCUCGGAUCAGGUAGGGAUACCCGCUGAACUUAAGCAUAUCAAUAAGCGGAGGA